AUUGAACGCUGGCGGCAGGCCUAACACAUGCAAGUCGAGCGAGCGGCGGACGGGUGAGUAAUGUAUGGGAAUCUGCCCGAUAGAGGGGGAUAACUACUGGAAACGGUGGCUAAUACCGCAUACUGUCGGAUGUGCCCAUAUGGGAUUAGCUAGUAGGUAAGGUAAUGGCUUACCUAGGCGACGAUCCCUAGCUGGUCUGAGAGGAUGAUCAGCCAAAUUGGAACUGAGACACGGUCCAGACUCCUACGGGAGGCAGCAGUGGGGAAUAUUGGACAAUGGGCGAAAGCCUGAUGCAGCCAUGCCGCGUGUGUGAAGAAGGCCUUCGGGUUGUAAAGCACUUUAAGUUGGGAGGCGUUACCCACAGAAUAAGCACCGGCUAACUCCGUGCCAGCCGCCGCGGUAAUAC
rnacentral:rRNA from 1 species